GACGAACGCUGGCGGCGUGCUUAACACAUGCAAGUCGAACGGAAAGGCCCUGCUUUUGUGGGGUGCUCGAGUGGCGAACGGGUGAGUAACACGUGAGUAACCUGCCCUUGACUUUGGGAUAACUUCAGGAAACUGGGGCUAAUACCGGAUAGGAGCUCCUGCUGCAUGGUGGGGGUUGGAAAGUUUCGGCGGUUGGGGCUGGUCUCGCGGCUUAUCAGCUUGUUGGUGGGGUAGUGGCUUACCAAGGCUUUGACGGGUAGCCGGCCUGAGAGGGUGACCGGCCACAUUGGGACUGAGAUACGGCCCAGACUCCUACGGGAGGCAGCAGUGGGGAAUAUUGCGCAAUGGGCGGAAGCCUGAUGCAGAAACGCCGCGUGCGGGAUGACGGCCUUCGGGUUGUAAACCGCUUUCGCCUGUGACGAAGCGUGAGUGACGGUAAUGGGUAAAGAAGCACCGGCUAACUACGUG
rnacentral:rRNA from 1 species